rnacentral:rRNA from 1 species
AUUGAACGCUGGCGGAAUGCUUUACACAUGCAAGUCGAACGGCAGCACGGGGGCAACCCUGGUGGCGAGUGGCGAACGGGUGAGUAAUACAUCGGAACGUGCCCAGUCGUGGGGGAUAACGUAGCGAAAGCUACGCUAAUACCGCAUACGAUCUACGGAUGAAAGCGGGGGACCGCAAGACCUCGCGCGAUUGGAGCGGCCGAUGGCAGAUUAGGUAGUUGGUGGGGGAAAGGCUCACCAAGCCGACGAUCUGUAGCUGGUCUGAGAGGACGACCAGCCACACUGGGACUGAGACACGGCCCAGACUCCUACGGGAGGCAGCAGUGGGGAAUUUUGGACAAUGGGCGAAAGCCUGAUCCAGCCAUUCCGCGUGCAGGAUGAAGGCCCUCGGGUUGUAAACUGCUUUUGUACGGAACGAAAAGGCUCUCUCUAAUACAGGGGGCUCAUGACGGUACCGUAAGAAUAAGCACCGGCUAACUACGUGCCAGCCGCCGCAGUAAGAC